rnacentral:lncRNA from 1 species
CGGGAAACGUGCACCUGCAAAAAUGAGAAGUCCACACUGACCGGAGGCGGUUCCGGCGGGGACCCUCCGACGGUCAAGUCAGAGAGGUGACUGGGCAACAGUGAAAUGAAGACAGAGAGCUCGAUCGAGAGAGAGAGUGAGAGAGGAGCGAGCCUAUGGUUUUGGAGUCGAGAAGUGGGGGGAGCGGAUCAGAUCCCUUGCACUGUUGCCUUUUUCGGUUUAUAUAGUGGAGCACGGUAUGGCGCC